rnacentral:rRNA from 1 species
AUGGAUCUAAGUAGAAAUCAAUUUUCAGGAAGUAUUCCACCUCAGAUUGGACAUUGUCACUCUUUAUCGUUCUUACUCCUGUCAGACAACUUACUGACAGGACAGAUACCACGAGAAUUUGGGUAUCUUGCCAACCUAUAUGAGCUUGAUUUGAGUAAAAACAAUUUAAGCAGUGCCAUCCCAACGACUUUUUCUGUUUAUCACCAACUUUGGAAGCUGAAUUUAUCAUAUAAUAAUUUGGAUGGCAGAGUUCCAUUUAUCGCUGCCGCCUUGAUCUCACUUGACCAUAAUACAGAGUUAUGUGGUGAUUCGUAUGGCUUAACUCCAUGUGAAACACCGAAGUUAGACAUGGAACACCAAAAAGGGAAACACCCAAGUAUGGUACUUCUUGCUCUUUUUGCACCCUUUUCAUUUGCUUGCCUCUCAAUUGUAAGCAUCACGAUCGUCUGUUGGAGAAGAAAGGAUGUAAAAAGUACAAGCAAAAGCAAGUCUGGAGAUAUAUUUUCCAUAUGGAAUUUUGACGGAAAGAUCGCGUUCGAAGACAUCAUCAGCUAA